CCCUGGCACAGGUUGCUCGGGGAAGCUGUGCUGGCACAUCCCAAGGCCGGGUUGGGCGGGCUUGGAGCGACGGGGACGGAGCGAGAUGGGCUGCGGGGUGUCCUUCCAGGCCACACCAUUCCGUGAUGCCCAGGCCACACCAUUCCGGAUGCUCUGAGGGCACUGGGGCUCUCCGGGCACGGCCGGGGACAGCGCUGGGAGCGGGGCGGUGGCAGCAGGGCUGGGGCGCGGAGCCUGAGGCGAGCUCUGGGUGCGCUCUGUGUCUCCGUGCGCUGCCCCAGCUGCCUGGAUGGGAUCGCUGGGUUAUGGAUGUACCGUCAGGACUCCUGUUCUGUUAAACUACAAAAACCGUGUGUGUAUCUUUGUCUUCCGUGGGUGUUCGGCAGCCGUGCCUGGCAGGAGGGUGUAGCGCUCCCAGAGUCAGGGUGACCGGUCACAGCCUAAAGCUGUGCCAGAAGAGCUUCAGGUUGGACAUUAAGAGGGAUUUCUUUACAGAAAGGGUGCUUAGACAUUGGGGUUGGCUGUCCAGGUGUGGAGUGUCCAUCCCUAGAGAUGUUUAAGGAAAGACUGGACGUGGCCUCGGUGGUGUUGGGUCAUAGGUUGGACUCAAUAAUCUCAGAGGUGUUUUCCUGUGAUUUGCUCAUUCUGCGCACCAAAUCCCAAUGUUCCAUCCUCUCUGCAGAGCCUUGCACUUUCAUUUCCCCCUGAUUUCAACUGUAUUGCUCAUCUUAUCAACAUUUUUUAUUUCUUUUUGCUACGCUGGCAGCACUUUGUUCUGUCUCUUUUGAACACCCUGCUCCAAAAGCGCUGAGCCUGAAGUCCCGAGAACCCCAGUGGUGGAGGAUCCCUGUGGAGCGAAAUCUGUCCAUGACUGGGAAGCCCACGCAACGCCAGAAUGGGUUUUUCUUGCUGGGGAUCUCAAUUAAGGAAACUUGUCAGAGAAGACCAAGACAAUGAAUCUUUCCAGUAACUCCUGUAAAAAAUGCACAAGAGACUUUGAGCUAAAACACGGCCUGAAGAAAGUUAAUGAAGUUGUUAAUAGUCUGUGUCACAAAUGAGAAGACUGUGGAUGAUUCUCUUUUUUUCCUUCAGGCCUUGAUGAGUCAUGAAAAUUAUAGAAAGCUAAUUUUUCUAAUGGAGCAGGUUUUGUAAGUAAAAGAGGAAAAAUCGGGAAAAAACUAAAAUACAGACAUCUGAUGACAAGAGCUGCUUCUGGUGGUGACCAGUGUGUUGUAAACUGGAAUUUUCUUGAAUUUAAUGGACAUUUUGACCUAAUUUAGUCUUGUUAAUUAACUUUUUUAGAGAGGUCAAACCCUUUUCUCUGGUAAAGGUCAUGUACUUCAACUAAGAAAUCUUUUCUCAUCUACAGAAUAAUACAGCAACAUAAAAAUUCAUGUUGCUUGGUUUUUUUUAUAAUUCUGACAAUAUUAAUGGAUCAUGAGCAAUAAGCCUGCAGUAUUUCACACCCCUUUGCCCAGUCCUCAUCAAAUAAUUCCUUUUUGUGUUUGUUGUUUGUGUGUGUGAAUGAUCCCAGGGUUAUGCAGUUAUCCAGCAGCAGGCUCAUCCACUGGAGCCUGGAGAUGGAUGUUAUUUCACACAGAAGGAAAAUGACAUUCCAAAAACCCACAUGGACCUGAUCAUUGUGAGAGAAGUGUGGGAAGAAUGCUCUUUGUAAAACAAGGGAGCCACAUUGAGAUAAAAACCUUGAUUUCAGUGUCAGAAAUUUUGUGAAUGUUUCAGUUGAAUAAAGCAGCUUUAUUGCUUCUGAAAAUGUUUGCACCUCUUGGUCAGUCAGGUCAGGAGUUACCUAAGGCCUUGCAUAAAGCACACCUUCAGUGGGAAUGGCACUGCAGGAAUAUUGACAACUUCAAAUCACUCUUCCUUUUUGAGUAACAGCUGUAUGAACUGCCCCUUAAAAGAAAAUAAAGAGAGGAAAAACCAGAAAAUGCUUUUUCAUUGAAUUGGUGAACCUGCUCAGAAAUAUUGAAGAGACACAUAGCAAACUAGAGUGGUCACUAGAAAUAGAAAUAAUGUGUUGGAGGUGGGGGAACUACCACUGUCCUAAUUGUGGAGUUUCUCUGACAGGAAACUUGGAUCCAUUCCACUUCAUGAUUUCUUCAUGAAAACUACAUAAAAUAUUUUAGAAAACCUGAGUGAUUUCUAUAACAGAAUUUUGGCAAUUUAAAGCAAAGCAUGUUGCUAUGACAGUUCCUACAAAUCAUUUAGCUUUGUUUUGUAUUAUAAAUAUGUCAAAAUGAAGCCAUUUCUGUCCAAACAAAAAUUUUCCAGGCUUUUAAAAAAUAUUUCUUAUUUGCCAAAGUCAAGAUGAAGGCUUAUUUCAAAUGCUGUAACUUAGAUCUGCAUAACUAUAAACCCACAAGGACAUAGCUUUAGUCUUAUAAAUAAGUAAUGUCAUUAGAUACAGUAUUCUUAGUUUAAUUGACUUCAUUUUCUACUCUGUAUAACAGUGAUUGAAAAAUAAAAGACAUUUAACAUUGCUGAAACCUUUUCUAGUGGUUUCUGAACUGCAAGUCAAUAAGCACAAGCCAUUGCCAGAAAAUGUCAUCGGUUUUGGGGUUUGUUUCAGUAGUAAAAUGCUAAGUGAAACCUAGGUGGGUACAGGGAAUUGCUUCUAGUCCUUUGCAAAUAAGAAUCAGGUGAAAUCUGAAAGGCAAAGACAUCAAAAUAGCACAGAUUUAUCAUGCAGACAGCAUUGAUGAAACCCCACAUAAGGAACUCAUUUCAUUUUCUGCAGGUAAGUAAAAAAAAAGAUUUUAUGGGGGAUAUUUACCAAGUUGGCAGCUGAGUCUUUAACUUCAGAGGUAUUGAAAGAACUGGGUAUUUUCAGAUUUGGCAUUUUUUUUCAUCAGAAGAAAAGAUGUUUAAGUUGGAGAAGGAGUUGCCAAAGAUAGAAUUUACUUGUGUGAGGUAAUAAAGUUGGUGAAUUGCAGUUAAAGCAAUUUCUUAAAUUAAAAUUCAUAUAUAUUCUUCCCUUAAAUUAACCCAGAUGUGUCCUAUACAUGAGUUAAGCAUGGGUUUCAUCACAGAUUAUCAGCUGAUGGUAUCUCCUCAGAGGGGCUGACAUCUGUUGCUUUGUGCUGUGGUCUCUCAAAAAGUGAUUCAACAACUACAACAUGGCAGAAAUGAGUACUUGAAUUUUGUCAGGAAACUAGAAAUCAUUUGAUCAGUGGCAGUUUAUUUUCUGGUGAUGUGGAGUUGCUGAGAAAGAAGGAAAAGGGAAUAUCCCAAAGCAAGAAGCAAGCAGAGACCACACUGAAAUAAAAGCAGCAGAGGGUGGAAUAUUCUGAAAAAGCAUCUGGAAAAGAGCUGAUUUAAGAUCAAGGAGAUGAAGAACUGCAGGAGCCAGUGGUACCUACAUUUUUUCAGCACAUGGUGAAAGGCUUUAUGCUCAAAGAAAUAGAACACAGACUUUUCUCCUGGUCUUUUCUACCCCAAGCCAUGGAGCUGUGUCAGAGACAUAAAGCAGUUGGGGAUGGAAGAGAGAGGUGGUCAAUAGAACUGUGAUGAGAUGUUACAGAGCCCCGUGAAAAAUGAUUCUAAUCAUAAAAUUUUAGAAGAACUCCUGGUUUGUUGGUUUUUUUAUAUAUUCAAGCUCUAGCUAGCUUCACUCUUUCCUCCCCACACACACACACUAAUACAACUUUUGCAAUUGACUUGAAGGACUGAGAUACAUACAAAAUAAAAAUAUUUUAUUGUUUUAUUUCAAUGCUUCAAUGUUUUUUUCCCCUUAACAGGUUAUAAAUGCAUAUGGGUUUGGGAGAGUUUGGAGUAAUAGGGAGUCAAAUGCAAAGUUCUCCUGAGGAAUUGCUUAUUUAUAUAAAGCUGAUGAGAAGACAAAUGUUUUAUGGGAGGGCCCUGACUCUCUUAAAGGAUAUUUGGCUGAAGGAGAGAGUACUUGCUGGAGCACACAUUUAGGUGUGUUUGUUAUUGCAUUGCUUUGUGCUGGGAGUGGAAAAAUACUGUCUAUCAGGUGCUUUUUAUUAGAUUUUUUUUUUCCCUGUAAGUGUCAGCAUGUGUUGGGCAAAUAGAGACUGAUUGUGUGGACUUGUAUAUCCAGAGAGUUCUGCUGUCACUGAGCCAUCAGACAAUCAGCUGGGUUCUAGACAUGGAAAAUAUGUGUGAAACUGGGAGUCAGCUUGUGUAACUCAGCUCUUGUUUCCAGAACAGGUGUAAAUGUACCAGAAAAAAUGACAUGAGUGCUAAGAAUAUCUGCAGAACAUCUGUAAUUGCUACACUAGGUGUGAUCACAUUUGAUGGAGCAGAGUCACAGAAAUCGUAAGAGCAAGUGACAAAACAAAGAUGUUCCAGAAGAUGUGGAAGGAAUCAACAAAAAAAGCAAAAUUUACCAUUCAGUGUCUGAUUUUCUGAAGAUUCCCUCUGAAAACUGUAUCAUUAGAAAUUGUAAUGAAACUCAAAAAGUGACCAGAAUAGCAAUUGACAGAAGACUUGGCAUCUUCAAAAUGGGCCUUGGAUGCUUAGAUAAAUGUGGUGGAGCAGAGCUGGACUGCCCUUCAUGUAAGUUCAGAGCAGUGCUGUAGGUGUGAGUU